UACGAAGGGUGCAAACGUUAUUCGGAAUCACUGGGCGUAAAGGGUGCGUAGACGGUAUGUUAAGUUCGUUGUUAAAGGCUCCGGCCUAACCGGAGUAUUGCGAUGAAAACUGGCAAACUAGAGGGUGAGAGAGAGAAGUGGAAUUCCCGGAGUAGCGGUAAAAUGCGUGGAUCUCGGGAGGAACACCAAUGGCGAAGGCAGCUUCUUGGCUCAUACCUGACGUUGAGGCACGAAAGCGUGGGGAG
rnacentral:rRNA from 1 species